rnacentral:lncRNA from 1 species
CACGAUAUAACAACUGAAUAACUGUUUCGGUUGCCCGAGUAAGGAGACACUAGUUAAUUUUUUGAAUAAUUUGUGUUAACGUAAUAGACCUACUCACAUAUAGAAAUAUUGGAUUUGCACAUGAGUAUGUUGAUCCGUGAACUUGGUUAUCUGCAAUCCAACCAUGGUAAUGAAUGACAACCGAUAUUUUUUUAGGUGGAGCCAUGGGUGGUGUUUAGGGGAUGUAAGUGGGAAGGCUAUGAGAGUUAGGAAUAUAGGUUACUUUUAUGAGUAUGUUGUUGUGUAUG